rnacentral:rRNA from 1 species
UGGGGAAUAUUGCGCAAUGGGCGGAAGCCUGACGCAGCAACGCCGCGUGCGGGAUGACGGCCUUCGGGUUGUAAACCGCUUUCAGCAGGGACGAAGCUUUUGUGACGGUACCUGGAGGAGAAGCUGCGGCUAACUACGUGCCAGCAGCCGCGGUAAUACGUAGGCAGCGAGCGUUGUUCGGAGUUACUGGGCGUAAAGAGUGCGUAGGCGGCGAGCCAAGUUUGGUGUGAAAUCUCCCGGCUUAACCGGGAGGGUGCGCCGAGAACUUGUUGGCUGGAGUAUGGGGGAGGAAAGCGGAAUUCCUGGUGUAGCGGUGAAAUGCGUAGAUAUCAGGAGGAACACCUGCGGUGUAGACAGCUUUCUGGACCAAAACUGACGCUGAGGCACGAAAGCGUGGGUAGC